UUAUUCACAAUAUCAAGUUCAAGACGACGCUUCAAGAGUUCAAUAUUUCGACUCAUUUCUUUAAGCAUUGAUUGAAUCACCGAUCUUAUUCUCUCUCUAGUCUCUUCUCGGAUUCUCCUAGAAUCAAGAACUCAUUAUAAAAAGAUGCAGCCACACACGGAAAUUAUUCUUCUUCGCUUAAGCCCUUCAUUCCUCUAUGAUUCUUGUUCAGUUCAAUAUUCAAACUUCAUCUUAUUCUAGAAUCGACCCCUCGUUCUUCAGUGAAUCCUUCACAUUUAACCUUCACACCGACAUUAAUCCUUCACUAUACAAUUCAAUCUUCACGGUGAGCCGACGACAUCAAUCCUUCACCUUCGCUUUAACCUAGUCUGCACUCAUGGAAUUGAAGGAGAAUAGCGUACAAGAAGUUUUGGCUUCAUUAGAAAAUCCUAAGCCCAGAUCAACGAGCCCCACAACCAAGUGUUGAGGCUGUUGGAACAACAGAUGGACAAUUGGCUGGAACAACAGAUGGUGAGCGGGCUGGAACAACAAAUGCAGAGGCUGCUGAAAAUACAAACAGAAGAUUAACUUGUAAAGUUUGGAGACAUUUUAAAAAGCAAAAGAUUGAUGGUGUUGAUAAGGCGAUAUGCAACUACCGUAAGAAAAAAUUGAGUGGGAUAAGCAAGAAUGGGACUACACACUUACAUGAGCAUUACAAAAAAUGUUUGUGAAAAAUAAUAAAGACUUAAGACAAUCGAUCUUGAAUCCACGCCAAGAAAAAAAGAUGGUCCUGUAUCACUUGGUGCACAUACAUUUGAUCAUAAUGUUUCUCGUGAAGAACUAGCAAAGAUGAUCAUUUUUCAUGAGUAUCCACUGAACAUGGUGCAACAUGUUAGAUUUAGAAAUUUUGUUAAUUCAGUUAACCUGUUAUUUAAACAUGCAUCACGAACUACCAUUACGAGUGACAUAAAGGACAUUUUUUAGAGUGAAAAACUAAAACUAAAAAGGAUGUUGAAUUCUAACCAAGGCAGAAUUUAUGUGACAACUGAUAUGUGGACAACCUCUAACCAAAAAAGAGGUUACAUGGUUGUCACUGCACAUUAUAUUGAUGAUUUGUGGAACUUGUGAAGUAAAAUUUUAAGGUAUUUAGUUAUUUUGACUCUUUUAUAUUCUUUCUUUUUUAAUUGUGAACUAAUUAUUUUUCUAUUUUAUAAAUUGUAGGUUUAUGUAUGUUCCAGCCCUUGAUAAUGCUAAAACGCUAACUAAAGCAUUAAUUGGGUGUUUGGUUGCAUGGUCCAUUGAUUGCAAGUUAUCUACCUUGACUUUAGAUAACUGUAGUGUAAAAUUUUCUUUGAUGGAGAAUAUGAAAGAAAAAUUGAGACAUGAUAAUUUUCUAUUGAAAGGGGAGUUGCUUCACAUGAAAUGUUGUGCACAUAUAUUGAACUUAAUUGUUCAACAAGGGUUAAGUGCAAUUCAAAGUGGGAUAGAGUCCAUUCGAGAGAGUGUUGUUUUCUAGACUGCAACUCCAAAAAGAGUUGAGAAUUUUCAGGAAACGAAGGAUGGUCUGUCUCUUUCAAGUAAAAGAAUGUUAGUUUUGGAUUGUAAAACUAGAUGAAAUUCAACUUAUUUGAUGCUUAUGAGUGAGAAUCCUUAUAAAGAAGUCUUCAAUCACCUUGUACAAAAAGAUAAAAGCUACAAGCAAGCACCUAGUGAUCA